rfam:Methanotorris igneus Kol 5, complete genome.
AUUUCCAUCCCCCUAUGGGUCUGAUUUUAAC